GCGGGCGUGGUGAAAUUGGUAGACACACGAGACUUAAAAUCUCGCGGCGGCAACGCCUUGCCGGUUCAAGUCCGGCCGCCCGCACCA
rnacentral:tRNA from 1 species